GACGAACGCUGGCGGCGUGCCUCAAACAUGCAAGUCGAGCGGACGGAGACCGAACCGCAAGGGGAGGUUGAAGUUAGCGGCGAACGGGUGAGUAACACGUGGGUAACCUACCCUAAAGUCUGGGACAACGGCCCGAAAGGGCCGCUAAUACCGGAUAAUGUCUUCGGGUCGCAUGGCCUGGGGAAGAAAGCCGAAAGGCGCUUAUGGAUGGGCUCGCGUCCCAUCAGCUAGUUGGUAAGGUAACGGCUUACCAAGGCGACGACGGGUAGCCGGUCUGAGAGGAUGGUCGGCCACACUGGGACUGAGAUACGGCCCAGACUCCUACGGGAGGCAGCAGUUGGGAAUAUUGGGCAAUGGGCGAAGGCCUGACCCAGCGACGCCGCGUGAGGGAAGAAGGCCUUCGGGUCGUAAACCUCUGUCAUCGGGGACGAAGAAAGUAGACGGUACCCGAGGAGGAAGCCCCUGCUAACUACGUG
rnacentral:rRNA from 1 species